CCUACGGGAUGCAGCAGUGAGGAAUAUUGGUCAAUGGACGAGAGUCUGAACCAGCCAAGUCGCGUGAAGGAUGACUGCCCUAUGGGUUGUAAACUUCUUUUAUAUGGGAGUAAAGUGUUCCACGUGUGGGCUUUUGUAUGUACCCUAUGAAUAAGGAUCGGCUAACUCCGUGCCAGCAGCCGCGGUAAUACGGAGGAUCCGAGCGUUAUCCGGAUUUAUUGGGUUUAAAGGGAGCGUAGAUGGGUGGUUAAGUCAGUUGUGAAAGUUUGAGGCUCAACCGUAAAAUUGCCAUUGAUACUGGCAGUCUGGAGUACAGGUGAGGUAGGCGGAAUUCGUGGUGUAGCGGUGAAAUGCUUAGAUAUCACGAAGAACUCCGAUUGCGAAGGCAGCUUACUAAACUGCAACUGACAUUGAUGCGCGAAAGUGUGGGUAUCAAACAGGAUUAGAUACCCGAGUAGUC
rnacentral:rRNA from 1 species